rnacentral:lncRNA from 1 species
AAAAACUCUAAAGUAAUUUUAAACAGAGAAAAAAGAAAUCUAACCUAAUGGCGUGACAUUUUCAUUAUUAUUUUAUCUGGAAGAGAAAUAGUAAAAUCAAAGUAUAUGAAAAGAAGAAUGAUAAGACUUCAGUAUAAAUAUCUUACAAGUUACAGGAUUAGCUGCUAGUUGGGAAAUCCAGUCAUGUUUUAUGCCUCACAGUAUAUGUUUGGAAUAAUAGGAAGGAACCUGCAAAGAUCAUUGAGACCCACUGCCUGACCUCUUGAGGACUAAGCAGGCAUUCAAGCAUGAUUUUGAGGGCAGUCUUCAAAUGCCUCCUGAACACUGGUGUGGGGCAUCAACCACCUCUUUAGGAAGCUUGUUCCAUUGUAUGACCACCCUCACUGUAAAGACAUGUUUCCAACACCCAGUCUGACCCUCACCUGGCUUACUUUGUGUCAUUCCUGUCCUUCUAGCAGUUGCUAGGAGCAGAGCUCAGCACCACCAUCUGCUUCCCUCCUCGGGGAGAUGCAGGGAGCAGCAAAAUGAUGAUCGUGGUAGGUUGCGUACAGCCAGUGGAGGGAAAAUGGCAGUAGGAAAAAUAAGAGUCCAAAUAAAUUUGCUCAUAAAAGCUCAUACCUACACCCAGAAUUGUGCUGUGAAGUUUUCCCUUCCAUUAGGACAUAAUUUUAAAGCAUCAGUUACUCAAUAUUAGAGUAGCAUGAUUGGAAGGCAGCCCUAUGAGUCCUGCAAGAGCAAAGGUACUGCUGCAUCUUGUUAUACGUGCAGUGUAGUGUGAAUUUAGUGUGAGUUACAUUGGCAUAAAAAACAUUAGAAAUAUCACUGUACUUUCACCAUAAAAAUACUGUGUAGAGUAAAAAAAAAAAAAAAAAAAAAAAAAAAAAGAUAAUCAAAUAUUCUCUCUGGACUAAUUAUUUUCUUUUAAAAAGACUCUGCUAAACCAAUCUUUGUCUUAUUUGCAGUUGCUCACAAAUAUGCGUAAUUGAUGGAAAAAGGAGAAAUAUUCUUUGGAUGCUAUGCCGCCAGCUAUUUGCAUGGCACCACAGAUGUGUGUGGCACUCAGGAGUCUGAUCUGCAGUUCACAUCAGCUCUAAUCAGUCUGAGAGUAGCAUUCGGUAGAAACAAGAAGGACCACAAAACCUUUUGGUCUCUGGAAACCCACAGGGCAACCAUAUGUUUUUUACAACUGCAGAACUUGAGUUCAUCUCACUGGACAUUCUGGAGUACCAGUGGGACUUCCCUAACAAAUAAUUACUAUGUGAAUAGUCACCAGUAUUGAAGAGAAGACAAGUGUUAAAAUUACCAGCACUAAGGAAGAUAUGGAAAGCUGCAAGGGAGAGGUAUGGAAAUGUACCCAAACCAUCAGAGAAAAAGGCCUCAAGCAUAUUUCUACUGCCUUCUACUCUGUAGCAAGCCUAGCAAUCCAUUCAGUAAGCCCGCAAACCAGGACUGCUGUGGAAAUGCCGUUUGUCCCAGUGGUGUUUCCAGGGGAUGAGGGCAGUCAGGAAGCAGUAAGACUGCCAUUCUACUUGACUGAUUUGUGAGCAUAGCAGUGAUAAGUGACAUCUGUCUAAAUACAACAAUGGUAACGAUGACUAUUGACAAAUAGGAACUUUGUGUGUAACACUUGGUUAUGCACAGGAACACACAGAACGAAGGCAGACAGGUGUGUGCUUUUUCUCUCCUUGCAAAAAAAAACAACCACCUAGCCGGUGUUCUGUAUAUGAAGAUGAUACUUGUUGCAACUCGUUCUACUUUGCAGUGUUCAACAGUGGCUAUUAGCAAAGGUUCAACCAAUGCACUUUUGGGUAUGCACAUGAAAAACAGCUUCACACGUUAGCAGAGCCAACAGCAUUUAGGUUCAUCUGGUUUUUGGUGCUUUGGGAAGACUAUAAAUGAAGAGUUAAUUGAACAACAGCAAAAUACAUAUCAAGACAAUCCCACAACCCAUUUUUCGAUAAUUGUUUCUUCUCUUAAGAGAACAUUACCUCUCUCACAGAUGGUCAGAGUGAUGCAUUUGGGGAAAUCAACCAACUUGGCUUUCUUCCUGAUCUCUCUGCUUAGUAACUGCAGCGUUUAACCCCAGAAGUAUUACUUAACUUUGCUCCAGAUACCAUUCUAAUCAACAAUAUUAGGCUUCACAGUUGGAAAACUCUUUCUAAGGUCUCUGAACCUAAUUUUAUUUUUCUCAGUGUUUUAGACAUUUGGAAACCGUUUGCCAAUGUAAAGUUUGGUUACUUACGAAUCGCUUGAAAUAGGCUUACAUAAAUACAGCUUGUAGGAGGUUGAAGGAAUCGUGUGAAUUUCGUAAUUCUAGGAGUUGUUCUUGUAUAGUCAUCUUCCAACUGAAAUCAGUGGUGCAUAGAAAGGAAGAUAUGUUAAACAGUUAAAGCACUGAUAUAGAGACUGGGAUCUGACUUUCAAGUUCAGUUCCUUCUCUGAGAUUCGGUCUCUGUGCUAUAGUACAGUAUGCACAUACUGGUAUUUUCACAUUCUGUGGCUUUGAGACGUUAAAAAUAGGCGCCCAAGUACUGGUAUAAGGACUGGUUAACAAGCCCCCAGAAAUACUUGGUUUGUGUCUGUGUGGUUGCGGUGGACAACUGGUUGCACUCUGCUUUCAGACAGAGUGACCUUCAUCAGUCAGAAGCAUCUCAGUGCUCAGGGGUGCAGGCAGAGAAGGGACUUAUCCAUCUUUUUCACAGCAAGUCCGAGUUGGGUGGAAUAAAGGAGCUUGAAAUCUAACCUGUGCUUUUUGU